rnacentral:rRNA from 1 species
UACGAAGGUGGCUAGCGUUGUUCGGAUUUAUUGGGCGUAAAGGGUCCGCAGGCGGUUUGAUAAGUCAGGUGUGAAAUCCAACAGCUUAACUGUUGACACGCAUUUGAUACUGUCAGACUAGAGUAUGAGAGGGGUAAGAGGAAUUUCCAGUGUAGGGGUGAAAUCCGUAGAUAUUGGAAAGAACACCGGCCGCGAGGGCGUUUUACUGGCUCAUUACUGACGCUCAGGGACGAAAGCUAGGGGAGCAAACGGG